rnacentral:rRNA from 1 species
GAUGAACGCUGGCGGCGUGCUUAACACAUGCAAGUCGAACGAAGCACUUUAUUUGAUUUCCUUCGGGACUGAUUAUUUUGUGACUGAGUGGCGGACGGGUGAGUAACGCGUGGGUAACCUGCCUUGUACAGGGGGGAUAACAGUUGGAAACGGCUGCUAAUACCGCAUAAGCGCACAGCAUCGCAUGAUGCAGUGUGAAAAACUCCGGUGGUAUAAGAUGGACCCGCGUUGGAUUAGCUAGUUGGUGAGGUAACGGCCCACCAAGGCGACGAUCCAUAGCCGACCUGAGAGGGUGACCGGCCACAUUGGGACUGAGACACGGCCCAAACUCCUACGGGAGGCAGCAGUGGGGAAUAUUGCACAAUGGGCGAAAGCCUGAUGCAGCGACGCCGCGUGAAGGAUGAAGUAUUUCGGUAUGUAAACUUCUAUCAGCAGGGAAGAAAA